rnacentral:rRNA from 1 species
GGCCUAACACAUGCAAGUCGAGCGGUAAGGCCUUUCGGGGUACACGAGCGGCGAACGGGUGAGUAACACGUGGGUGAUCUGCCCUGCACUUCGGGAUAAGCCUGGGAAACUGGGUCUAAUACCGGAUAUGACCUCCUAUCGCAUGGUGGGUGGUGGAAAGAUUUAUCGGUGCAGGAUGGGCCCGCGGCCUAUCAGCUUGUUGGUGGGGUAAUGGCCUACCAAGGCGACGACGGGUAGCCGACCUGAGAGGGUGACCGGCCACACUGGGACUGAGACACGGCCCAGACUCCUACGGGAGGCAGCAGUGGGGAAUAUUGCACAAUGGGCGAAAGCCUGAUGCAGCGACGCCGCGUGAGGGAUGACGGCCUUCGGGUUGUAAACCUCUUUCAGUAGGGAAGAAGCGAAAGUGACGGUACCUGCAGAAGAAGCGCCGGCUAACUACGUGCCAGC